UACAGAGGUCCCAAGCGUUGUUCGGAUUCACUGGGCGUAAAGGGUGCGUAGGCGGUCGGGUAAGUCCGAUGUGAAAUCUCACAGCUUAACUGUGAAACUGCAUUGGAUACUAUUCGGCUUGAGAGUUGGAGGGGGGACUGGAAUUCUUGGUGUAGCAGUGAAAUGCGUAGAUAUCAAGAGGAACACCAGUGGCGAAGGCGAGUCCCUGGACAACUUCUGACGCUGAGGCACGAAAGCUAGGGGAGCAAACAGG
rnacentral:rRNA from 1 species